CCUAGGUAGCUCGGCACGUCGUCCUCAUCCUCGCCGGCUUCUCUGUCCGUGGCUUGGACCAACUCGCCUUCGGGUCACCGCUUGCCAUCGUCUCUGCUCUCGCCGUCAUCUCGCCGGUUGCUGCCGUGUCUCUGUUGAAGGUAUAUAUAUCUUGGGUAUUCGACAGUGAAGUAGAAGCUGCAAGGUCCUAGUGACACAUGAAUUACAUUAUACCUGCACUGAAUUUAUUACCCUGAAUUUUCAACCUCACUAGGGCUCCAAUCCAAUACGUGUAUCCCUUUUGAUUUUCUGAAAUUCAGAGCUUAUGACAAUGCUGCUAUCAAAUGCAAUGGAAGGGAAGCAGUGACUAACUUUGAGCCAAGUACAUAUGAAGGGGAGAUGAAAUCUCCAGCCAUCAAUGAAGGUGGCAUUCAUAAUCUUGAACUUAAUUUGAGCAUAGCAACUCCAGGACAUGGUCUGAAAGAAAAUAGGGGGCAACUCCAGUUCUCCUGGGUCCCUUACAGCAUGCAUGCUAGAAGAACAAUGG